rnacentral:rRNA from 1 species
GAUGAACGCUGGCGGCGUGCCUAAUACAUGCAAGUCGAGCGAACGGACGAGAAGCUUGCUUCUCUGACGUUAGCGGCGGACGGGUGAGUAACACGUGGAUAACCUACCUAUAAGACUGGGAUAACUUCGGGAAACCGGAGCUAAUACCGGCUAAUAUUUUGAACCGCAUGGUUCAAAAGUGAAAGACGGUCUUGCUGUCACUUAUAGAUGGAUCCGCGCUGCAUUAGCUAGUUGGUAAGGUAACGGCUUACCAAGGCAACGAUGCAUAGCCGACCUGAGAGGGUGAUCGGCCACACUGGAGCUGAGACACGGUCCAGACUCCUACGGGAGGCAGCAGUAGGGAAUCUUCCGCAAUGGGCGAAAGCCUGACGGAGCAACGCCGCGUGAGUGAUGAAGGUCUUCGGAUCGUAAAACUCUGUUAUUAGGGAAGAACAUAUGUGUAAGUAACUGUGCACAUCUUGACGGUACCUAAUCAGAAAGCCACGGCUAACUACGUG